UAGGGAAUCUUCCGCAAUGGGCGAAAGCCUGACGGAGCAACGCCGCGUGAGUGAUGAAGGUCUUCGGAUCGUAAAACUCUGUUAUUAGGGAAGAACAAAUGUGUAAGUAACUAUGCACGUCUUGACGGUACCUAAUCAGAAAGCCACGGCUAACUACGUGCCAGCAGCCGCGGUAAUACGUAGGUGGCAAGCGUUAUCCGGAAUUAUCGGGCGUAAAGCGCGCGUAGGCGGUUUUUUAAGUCUGAUGUGAAAGCCCACGGCUCAACCGUGGAGGGUCAUUGGAAACUGGAAAACUUGAGUGCAGAAGAGGAAAGUGGAAUUCCAUGUGUAGCAGUGAAAUGCGCAGAGAUAUGGAGGAACACCAGUGGCGAAGGCGACUUUCUGGUCUGUAACUGACGCUGAUGUGCGAAAGCGUGGGGAUCAAACAGG
rnacentral:rRNA from 1 species